GGGAUUAGAUACCCCACUAUGCUUAGCCUUAAACCUAGAUGUUAAACUUACAAGAAACAUCCGCCAGGGUACUACAAGCGCUAGCUUAAAACCCAAAGGACUUGACGGUGUCUCAGACCCACCUAGAGGAGCCUGUUCUAGAACCGAUAAUCCCCGUUAAACCUCACCACCCCUUGUUUUCCCCGCCUAUAUACCGCCGUCGCAAGCUUACCCUGUGAAGGUUCCAUAGUAAGCAAAAUGGGUAGAUCCCAAAACGUCAGGUCGAGGUGUAGCUUACGAGGUGGGAAGAAAUGGGCUACAUUUUCUAUAUCAGAAUAAUACGAACGGCACCAUGAAAUUUAGUGCCCGAAGGUGGAUUUAGUAGUAAAAAACAAAUAGAGAGUCUUUUUGAACCAGGCUCUGAGACGCGCACACACCGCCCC
rnacentral:rRNA from 1 species